GCAGCAUUUUAUAAUUUUCUGUUUUUAUAGCAGUGAUCAUGCGGAAAGAAAUACAGUGUCCCGGAGGAAGGUCCCCUUAUCUAGGAAGUAGGGGGCAGGGGAGGUGCCGGGGACAGUCUACUGAAGGUGUCACCUGAGAGCUGAGCCUCAGACAUGCACCAGCAGAGUGCAGUGGGGCUGUGAGUGUCCAGGAGGACAUUAAGCAGAAGGGGGAGGACAGAACACAGGCACAGAAGCUGUGAGCAGUUCCAGGCGAACAGAAACCACAGUGGGCUGAAGGGCAGAGACCAAGACGACGAGGGACCAUGGCUGAGACUGAAGAUAGGCUGGGCCAGCAGAAGGCACUUGAUGGCGGCCUAUGCAGACAGACGGAAGUUCACUGAGGAAUUCUGGUGGGGGAGUGAGCGGUAAGACUGAGCUCUGAUGUAUUUCUCAUAGUGCACCUACUCCAGGAGAAUGGGGCGGGGGUGUGGGGUUGAAACCGGCUCCGCCAGAAGGUGCUGUUAGAACUCUCCACUCGGCACAGGAGGGGUGCAGCCCGAGUGCGAUGACCCACCGCGGAGCUCUCCCUGACGGGGCCCUCGGGGGUGAGUCAGCUCUACCCAGGAAAUGCUGCUUCUUCAACCUCCACUGAACUUGAAAAACGUCUGCUUGGUUUUCCUUCUAGGAGCCACGGUUAGCCCAUUUCUCACUGCAAGCUAAAGGGCAUUGGCAAAGGUCAGACGUCUCUUCCUGCCUCAUCUUGGCCACCGACUGGCUGUCAGUCAUCAGAACCACCUUCCAGUUCCUCGCCCACAACUGGAUUGGAACGGAUGGUCUUAGUUCUGUUCAAACAGGAAACGUCCAGGAAGUCGACACUUAUUUUUUAAUCUUCAAAGAUACAAAAGUACCACUCCAUAUCUUCCUUCUCAGUGUGAGUAGGAAGAGAAAGUGAACACGUAUGACCAUUAAACUUCACAGCCUGCAGCAUGAACAGUGCAUGUAAACACACUCGCGGCGCCUACUAAGCAGCACGGAAUGCAUUUCUGUGUGUGCUAAACUAACUACCCAGACUGCCCUUAUGUGCCAACAGAGGCAGGUGGCAGCUUGGAGCUGAGAGCAGGGGCCACUGAGACAGGGGAGCAGCCUGAGAAGCUCCCACAGCACCCACCGCCAUGUUUGGGGGUCUCCCAAGUGAGCUGCAUUCAUCCAGGGACAAAGACAUUGACUGGCCUCAGGAUGAGAUGAUCAGGAUGCUGUUUACAUUGAUCUACAUCUGGUUUCUGUUUUGUAUAUUUUGUGAAAUAUGUAACAUUGUUACAAUUGUAAAAGUACUAUAAAUAAAUAUGUAUGUUAAAUGGGGGGACAACUUAAAACACUUUUAUCACUGGGGUGCAUAAUCAAGGACAUUCCCAGGUCCCGGUGCUGUGCCUCAGGCCAGUGCACGCGUUGUUGGAGGAGGCCUGUCUGUGCCUCACAUUCUAAGUUCUGGGGUUUGUCCACGUUUAUUGUUAUCAAUCAUCUCUGUGACAGCCCACCUGUAUCUAAGGUAACCAUAGGCUGUUGUUGUUUCAUAGGAGCUAGCUUUUCAUAGGUAGAUUUAAUUUUAAAAAUAUUAUAGAGGAAGGUACAACUUAUCUGAGGCUCUUAUCUGGUUGGAGUGGCAUUAGGAGUUUGCAGGGGAGUGAAGAUUGAUUAGCUGCUGAAAGCUUCAGUAUUUCCUGGGUUACUUUAAAGGGAUUUAUUUUAUCUGUAUUUGCUGUAAACAUAAAAUCAGAAAUGAAACAUGAGUGUGUGUGUGUGUGUGUGCACGCAUAUGUGUGUAGUAUAUAGUAUACAUCCAGUAUAUAUCUAGUAUAUAUAUAUAGUGUUGUAUAUAGUAUUUGGUAGUCUAGAGAGCAGGAAAAGAAUAAAAACAAAACAAAGCAAAACCACCCAAGCACAUAAACAUAAAUCCCGCAUGAAUAGGUGCUAUUAUUUGUAGACGUAAAUCUCAAGACAUCUAUUUUGGAAUAUUACUAAAAUAGAGUAAUGUUUCAAUGGAAUUCAUUUCCAAUUAUCUGCACUCCAAUGGUUCUAACACUAUGUCCUAGAUCCUGAUAAACUGCUCCAAAGGCCUCCUUGGCUUACCAGUGUAGACAGUCCUAAAGGUAAACAUGUUCUAAUCAGUGCCUUUAUUUAAAAUUGGAAGGGAAUGUACAGGAAUAUGGAGAAAAGCAAUGUGAUUGUAAUAGGGUGAUAGAAUUAUACAUAUUUUUCCUUUAGCAUUUUUUCUUUGAAUGUGGUGUCAUAAAAGUCUGACCAAAUAAAACAGUAAGUAAAAUGGAGGCCUUUGAGAUACAACCUAUAGCUGAUGGUCAAUAUAGAAUGUGGAUUUAUUCCCAGCAGAGAGAAGACACUCCUUACAGUUACGAGGUCACUGUACAUACUCCAUGAAAACCGAAAUCUAAGGUCACUGUAUGCGUCACAUAUGGCUUUGGGGAUAAAACCUGAUACCAGCCGCUGUGAGAAGCAGCCAGGUUGUCACCAUGUCUCUUCAGUGAGCGAGCCAAGCCCGGCCUGUCUGCCAGGAGCUGCUCCCUGUCUGAGGCCAGGACUCUGCCUGGGAGGCUCCGAAAGCUCUCCUAGGACUGUCACUCAGCAUCUUGGAUGUCAAUAGAUGCCUCAAACGCAGCAUGUCAAAGAGGAUGUGCAGUCUGUCCCCUCCCUGCCCCAGAGCCUGCGGUAUGCAUGGCCUACCUCCUCCGCCUUUCAGCAGAGUGAACCCAAACCUCGGAGCUGCUCAUCUCCGCUCCAACACUUGAGUAAUUCAUGAGGUAGCCGUGAGAACGCCACUGCCAAAACGGGUCCAGACCCUGCCGCCUCCCUCCCCACAAAGCAAGAGUCCCAAGAUGAGCCCCACCCCUGUCACCAACGUCUGGAGGCUUUGCCUUCCUUGGCAGAACCUGACUUUUAUUUCUGAAUUAUUACAACUGCUGACUGAACUAAAAAUUCAAAACUUCACUGCAAUAAUCUGUUUUGUAAAUUCACUGUAUUUGUCAAAUAGCUACUGGUUUUGCCACACGGCCAUAAUCUUCCCUUAAUAAACUUGUAUAACAUG